rnacentral:rRNA from 1 species
UUGACAAAGAUCUAUAAUCUUUGACCUCAAAUCAGGUAGGAAUACCCGCUGAACUUAAGCAUAUCAAUAAGCGGAGGAAAAGAAACCAACAGGGAUUGCCUUAGUAACGGCGAGUGAAGCGGCAAAAGCUCAAAUUUGAAAUCUGGGGUCUUCGACCUCCGAGUUGUAAUUUGAAGAAAGUAUCUUUGGAGAUAGCCUUUUUCUAAGUUCCUUGGAACAGGACUUCAUAGAGGGUGAGAAUCCCGUAUGGAGAAGUGUCUAUUUCUAUGUAAAGUGCUUUCGACGAGUCGAGUUGUUUGGGAAUGCAGCUCUAAGUGGGUGGUAAAUUCCAUCUAAAGCUAAAUAUUGGCGAGAGACCGAUAGCGAACAAGUACAGUGAUGGAAAGAUGAAAAGAACUUUGAAAAGAGAGUGAAAAAGUACCGUGAAAUUGUUAAAAGGGAAGGGCUUCAGAUCAGACUUGAUGUUUAGUGAUCCAUCUUCCUUUUUGGUUGGUGCACGCACUUUUCAUUGGGCCAACAUCGAUUUGGAUGGUAGGAUAAUGUCGUUGGGAAUGUAGCUUCAUUCGUGAAGUGUUAUAGACCACGAUGAUACUGCCCAUCUGGAUCGAGGACUGCGUCUUUACGACUAGGAUGUUGGCGUAAUGAUCU